UACGUAGGCAGCAAGCGUUGUUCGGAAUUACUGGGCGUAAAGAGUGUGUAGGCGGUGCUCUAAGUUCGGUGUGAAAUCUCCCGGCUCAACUGGGAGGGUGCGCCGGAAACUGGAAUGCUUGAGCGUGGGAGGGGAAAGCGGAAUUCCUGGUGUAGCGGUGAAAUGCGCAGAUAUCAGGAGGAACACCGGUGGCGAAGGCGGUUCUCUGGGCAUUACCUGACGCUGAGGAGCGAAAGUGUGGGGAGCGAACAGG
rnacentral:rRNA from 1 species